rnacentral:rRNA from 1 species
UUAUACAGAGAAUUGAUUGCGUCUGGGAUCAAAUUUCCACAAAAAUAUCUUUGGAAAAUUAAAGUUCCUGCUAAGAUAAAGGUAUUCCUGUGGCUAGUGAAUAAAAAGAGCAUCCUGACUAGGGAUGUUUUACUCAAAAAAGGGUGGAAAGGAGGGAAAGAAUGUGUGUUUUGUGGACAAAAUGAAUCUAUUGAUCAUCUGUUGUUCACUUGCUCUGCGGCAUCUUUGCUGUGGAAUUUGGUCAAGUGCGUUUGUAAUCUGAAAUCUAGUCCUUUAAGUGUAAAUGAGUGUUUUGGGGGGUGGAUUAAUAAAUUCAAUAAAGAGGACAAGAAAAUGGUGAUGAUAGGGGUAUCUGCUUUAUUCUGGGCUAUUUGGAAAAGUAGAAAUGCAAUUGUCUUUGAGAGAAAAAGGAUUAAUGAUCCUUUACAGAUUAUCAAGCUAAUGGUUCGAUGGUUGCUUGAUUGGUCCAUUUUGCAGACAAAGGAGCCGCCAAAAAAAAUGCUGGAACUGGGGACAAGAGUGCUAGAACGGGCAGCAAGUGAAGUGUAUGCCGCUGGGCAGGGAUGGCGAAUCAAUGUGGCAAGGCUUCUCCCUGGAUGA